rnacentral:misc_RNA from 1 species
AGACUUGGAUUCCUCUUCUUAUCUUCUUCUUCGCCAGUAGUUGGAUCCUCCAUUUCUCGGUCCAUCGCACGGCCUGCACCCUCACUCCUGCUCCAUCAUCCCUUUCACUUCAUCCCAAAUCGUACAACCACUAACAGCAACCCAUUCCAAUUUUCACCACGUUCAACUCUCACUGCAUCAGCUUCUUCCAUGGCUUCCACUUUCAAGCCCGAACAAGCUAGGGUUCCUCCUGCUCUCCAAUUGCCCUCUCCUCCUAUCACUAAGUUUAAGAUUGGCCUAUGCCAAUUAUCGGUGACGGCAGAUAAGGAAAGGAAUAUUGCUCAUGCGCGAGCAGCAAUUGAGGAGGCUGCUGAGAAGGGGGCUAAGCUUGUUGUUUUGCCUGAAAUAUGGAAUAGUCCAUAUUCAAAUGAUAGCUUCCCAAUUUAUGCUGAAGACAUUGAUGCUGGUCCUGAUGCAUCACCGUCAACUGCCAUGCUCUCUGAAGCAGCUCGACUUCUGAAGAUUACUAUAGUGGGAGGCUCUAUACCUGAACACAGUGGGGACAAGCUGUAUAAUACUUGCUGCGUCUUUGAUGCUGACGGAAAGUUGAAAGCUAAGCACAGAAAGAUACAUCUUUUUGACAUUGAUAUCCCUGGUAAAAUAACCUUUAAGGAAUCACAGACGCUUACUGCAGGAGAGACUCCAACUGUUGUGGAUACAGAGGUUGGCCGAAUUGGUAUAGGGAUCUGCUAUGACAUUCGCUUUCAGGAGUUGGCCAUGCUAUAUGCAGCAAGAGGGGCUCACCUGAUCUGCUAUCCUGGGGCGUUCAACAUGACUACUGGACCACUGCACUGGGAGUUACUGCAAAGGGCAAGGGCAGUUGAUAAUCAGCUAUAUGUUGCAACAUGUGCACCUGCUCGAGACGUUGAUGGUGGAUAUGUGGCUUGGGGGCAUUCCACACUAAUUGGACCAUUCGGAGAAGUGCUGGCUACAACUGAACAUGACGAGGCAAUAAUCAUCUCGGAGAUCGACUAUUCGCAAAUUGAACUGAGGAGGACAAACCUUCCAUUAGAGAAGCAAAGACGAGGUGAUCUUUACCAGUUGGUAGAUGUACAGAGGUCGAGUUCUCAGUAAGGCUAGUUUGUGAAAUAAGGCGUCUUAUGUUAGUAUAUAAGUGGAGUUCCCAGAACUGAAGGUCCAUUCACCAGAAACUGGGAUCAGAUCUAGAAAAUAAGAGGAUUGUCCAUUCUUCUGUAGUGGUUGAUGUUGAGCCUUCUAUUCAAUCAUCCUUAAUUUAGUCACCAAGUUUGGGUUUGCAAAUGACAAUAUAACCUUGUGCAGAAGGUGGAUUUAGUAACCUGCUGCAACUGUUCAUGUAUUAUCUAUUACUGUGGUGAUUGUUCUGUUUUGGUCUGAUAUCAACAUCAAUCUCCCUGAAAAGAGCCACAUGGUGAGUCAUUUUAUAAACAGGAAGUUAAGAUGAAAAGGAAACUUGUUCCUGAACUUGGAACAGUUAGUAAUCUCCAGGAGACGUGUGUAUUCAGGAGAUGUAAUAAUGUUAUUGUUCUUUAGACAUCAGUGACCCUACAUUGCUGGAA